UGGUGGUGAGAGCGGAAGUGACACACCCGGUCCCAUUCCGAACCCGGUCGUUACGGCUUCCAGCGCCGAUGGUACUGCA
rnacentral:rRNA from 1 species